CCUGGUUUUAUGUUGCUUCCCUUUUCCCCUGGCUGGGUCGUAACAUAAAGACUAUAAAAUAUUGUGACUGGUUAGACAGAGCCAUUACUGCUUCAUAUACCCAGAAACCAACAUGGCAGCUGUGAACUGACACCUGGCUCUGUGAGCAGUCCCGUCACUAAGCGAAAUACUUGGUGAGUAAAAUUUCCUGAGCUGUUGUAUCUUCUUUACUUGCAGAAAUCAACUGCCUGGUACUGGAUGUGAGUCCCACAGCGUCAGAGGUUUUACUUUCUCAGCAAAGUGGUUCCACAAAGGGUUUAUAUCUUGAUGCUUCAUGUGAACAGUGCAACAUCUACUGGCCUGAAUGCAAAAUGGGCAAAUACAAAUGUUUGUACGUCACAAAUUGAAUAGUUAUCUACUGAAAUGCGCAUGCGCACCAAACCCGACCUGUCCUGUGUUGUAAUACCACUUUGUGACACUAGACGCUGUGUGAGUCAGUGGAGCGUCAAGUCUGCCCUCAGUCCCACGAAGAAGAACAACUUCCGGCAGCUAUUGACGUUAGCAUCACAGAAACACAGGAAUGGCUGAACCUCCUAAAAGACGAUAUUCAUCUGUAUCCCCAAGCACCGCUCCCGACAAGAAACCACGUUCAACGGCAAAGAAAAGAAGCAACACGAGUAAAUCUGGAUGUGACUUUCCACCGCUGGAGAAGCUCCUGAGAGGAAAGAGAUGCGGUUUGAUGCCGAGCUCGCAACUUUCCUGUUAGCCUGGACCUGAGCCAGUACAGGUGCAAUACCGCCUCCACCUGUCUCACCUACGGCAGAGAGUCCAGACACAGUGAGGAGGGUCCAGAACCAGAAGUCCAGUCUAAUCUUCACCAGCGAUGGAGCAGCACCUGCCUUUUCUUCUGCAUCCGGCCUCAUCAAUCACAUUACAUCAACACCUUGAGGGAUGGCAGAAUCCACCUCGGGCCAGAACCACACCUUCCGGAAACCAGCAAGAAAUGGUAAGUCAUGCG